UAAAGGGUGCGUAGGUGGUCUGAUAAGUCAGCGGUGAAAGCCUGGAGCUUAACUCCAGAAUUGCCAUUGAUACUGUCGGACUUGAAUCAAGUUGAGGUGGAUGGAAUAUUACAUGUAGCGGUGAAAUGCUUAGAUAUGUAAUAGAACACCAAUUGCGAAGGCAGUUCACUAAGCUUGUAUUGACACUGAGGCACGAAAGCGUGGGGAUCAAACAGGAUUAGAUCCCGAGU
rnacentral:rRNA from 1 species